GACAGAGGUUGCAAACGUUGUUCGGAAUCACUGGGCAUAAAGCGCACGUAGGCGGCUAAUUAAGUUAGGUGUGAAAUCCCCCGGCUCAACCGGGGAACUGCGCCUGAUACUGAUUGGCUUGAGAACGGUAGGGGUGAGCGGAACUCCAGGUGGAGCGGUGAAAUGCGUAGAUAUCUGGAGGAACACCGGUGGCGAAAGCGGCUCACUGGACCGUAACUGACGCUGAUGUGCGAAAGCUAGGGUAGCAAACGGG
rnacentral:rRNA from 1 species